CUGCAUUAUGUUUUCUUGUGAAAACGGUGAAGGAAGUUUUAAAUUCUCUAGUGUUUUUAAAUGUGAAAAAAUUCAUCCAAUAUGCACACCGUGACUGCAUGCACUGUCAACGUACACGGGCAGCCUUAAGAUGUCAUGCAGAAGCACGACAGUUAACUUUAAAGCAGUUAAAUUCUAUUCUAUCAUUUUUUUUAUUCUAUCAACGUAAUGAAACGAAGCAAGAAAUUUGGUUACCAGAUAUCGGAACUUUCGGUUCUUUUGUAUCUAAACGUCAACGUGUAUCUAAAAAUAUAAUGGCAGUAAAAUACUAAGCUUGGAUUAAACAUCCAUCAAGUUAAAAUAUUUAUUUUUCUCUUUUCAUUAGAAAAUUAAAACAGACAGAAUCUAUUAUCAUUAUUUUUAUUCUUCUUCUGUGAUUAUAGUAAACGUACAUUUGCAUACAUUUUUUAUGAUUUUUACGUUUGAUUUGUGCAUUUAAAUACAACUACAACGAUGAUUUUAUUUUCAGAAUUUGAAGAAAGUUGUGAAUAUUAUAAUUAGUUGAAAUAUUAUAUAAAUAUUAUAUUUAAAAUAUUAUAUUUAGUUGAAAAUGAUUUCAAGUGUAUCAAAAGAACAUUAACAUUAACAUAUCACGUAACAGGAUGAACAAGAUAAAAUGAUAAUCUCGAUAAUCUAACUACGGAUGAUGCGAAUACACAUGUUUCGAGAUGAUAUUUUAACAAUUGAAAGUUAAGAUGGAAAUAGAUUACAUUUGAAUUCAACGGUUCAAUUUAGAAUCUACAAUUUUACCACAUAUCGUUGAAAAUUUUAAAGUUGGGUGUGAUCGUUCUUUAUUGAAGGAUAAUAUAUCUAUUAUAUCUAUUUAUAUUUUUAUAUUUUUAUAUUUAAUAUAUUUUUAUAUAUUUUUAUAUAUUC